rnacentral:ncRNA from 2 species
GGGAAUCCGACUGUUUAAU